GACGAACGCUGGCGGCGUGCUUAACACAUGCAAGUCGAACGGAAAGGCCCUGCUUUUGUGGGGUGCUCGAGUGGCGAACGGGUGAGUAACACGUGAGUAACCUGACCUUGACUUUGGGAUAACUUCAGGAAACUGGGGCUAAUACCGGAUAGGAGCUCCUGCUGCAUGGUGGGGGUUGGAAAGUUUCGGCGGUUGGGGAUGGACUCGCGGCUUGUCAGCUUGUUGGUGGGGUAGGGGCUUACCAAGGCUUUGACGGGUAGCCGGCCUGAGAGGGUGACCGGCCACACUGGGCCUGAGAUACGGCCCAGACUCCUACGGGAGGCAGCAGUGGGGAAGAUUGUACAAUGGGCGGAAGCCUGAUGCAGCAACGCCGCGUGCGGGAUGACGGGCUUCGGGUUGUAAACCACUGUCGCCUGUUACGAAGCGUGAGUGACGGUAAUGGGUAAAGAAGCACCGGCUAACUACGUG
rnacentral:rRNA from 1 species